rnacentral:miRNA from 1 species
UGCACUGCAUAUACUUUUGAAAG